AUUACAUGGCCUAGAGUCACGACGCAUCCACUCCCCUUUUUGGCUCUCAUCUUCACCUCAAAAGACCGAGGGAUCAGACUUCAAUGGAGGAAAACUAGCAGCUAACGGACUCCCUCAUAUCAGCGUCGUUUCCCCAUUCUUCAUCCUCAUCUCUUGCUGAACCAGAAAGAGACCUCUCUCAUCUUCAAUAAGAACAAAAAUCGGACCCUUUCCCUCUAGGACCAACCUUAGCCGGCAUAAAUACACACUCAUUCGUCACAAAUAACACACGACUGAAAUAAAGCUAAGAAAAUUCAAAUGAAGAUUUGAAAUCGCCAAGCUUGAAAAACAAAAGAAGAAUUGGAAUAUUUAAAGGAAGAUUGAAGGAAAAUUGAUUUAGAAAUUCAACUUCUUUUUUUCUAUUGGGUUUGUACAAGCUAUCAAAGUUCGAAUCUAUGGCUGUUUUCGCUUCUCUUUUGGGAGGUUGUUAUACUCAAGCCGAGAUCCUUGUUUCUACCGUUGCUCCGGAGUUGACCAAGCUGUAAUUGUAGCGACUGGUUUUUGGAUUUCUUUGGACCUGUUUCAGUCAUUUUCUCUACUGCUUAAUUAGGCAGGUGGUUAAUUUGUGUGGAAUUCUGGCAACUCACCCAUACAACACCCGGUCCAAAAACAAGACGAUCAUGGCUAAUCAAGAACUUGAUGCGAGUGUUAUCAAUCCUUCGAGAGAGGUAGAAGAGUCAGAGGUUAAUUUGAUGAAAGAAGAGAUGUAUAAGCUGAAAUAGCAGAUGGCCGAAAUGUACCAGGCAUGGGCAAAAGGGCAACCACCACCAGCUUACCCCACCAACCCUGCCUUCAUCCCGCCAUUGGCUCAGUCUCAGGAUCAUCCUGCCACCUAUUCGUCCUCGAGCUUUCCCAUUUACCAACAUUACCAGAGCACAACUUCCCAAACACCACCAGCUCCACCACCCAAACCAGUUCCAUACCCUCCUCCACCAGCCACUCCAGUUUUCGUGGUACCCCUCCCGCUACACUCCACAGAUCCUCCAGCGAGCCUUUGUUCCCUGCUCAUGAUAAUCAGUAUUACCCCCCGGAGCCCACUUUCAAAGCUCCAGAACCCUAUUCCUACACGCCUCAUUUUGAUCUCCCUGUGGAGGCUGAGAAACCAUCAAAAAUCCCAAAUAGGAGGAGAUAUUCAGGAAAGUUAAAAGCCUAGAACAGUCAUUCAGAGACAUGAGGGGGUUGGGAAGUCAAGUAAGUGUGGCUUACGAAGAUCUAUGUCUAUUUCCAAAUGUGCAAUUGCCGAUAGGGUUUAAGAUGCCCAAGUUUGAUUUGUACGAUGGGCCUACUGAUCUAGUGGCACAUUUGAGAGAGUUUUGUAGCAAUAUGAGGAGAGCUGGCGGGAAAGACGAGUUGCUAAUAGCAUAUUUCAGUCAGAGUCUGAGUGGUUCAGCGCUGGAGUGGUACACUCAGCAGGAUCACGGAAGAUGGGGGGCAUGGUAGAAGAAGGGCUUAAGUCCAACAAAAUCAUGAGCUACUCAGCUAUUAAGGCAACCACCCAGGCCAUUCAAAAUGGUACUGGGGGAGCAAUUGGAAAGAAGAAGAAAGAGGAUGUCACAACAGUUGAGUCAAGAACUUGGUUCGAAUCCAGGGGUUCACCUUACCACUAUCAUCAGCUUGGUCCCCAUCACCAAACCUACCCCCACACCCCAUAUAAUCUACCCCAACACUACUACCCACCACCAGACCCCUAUAUUUCUGUCCACUAUGCCCAAACAUAUAGCCAACCUCCUGCCCACGCACAAUGGCGUGCGCCAGUCCCACAAAAUACAUACCCAGCUCCACAAAAUGCCUAUCCACCCCCAAAAUCCUACUGAAACCCUCCUGGAUUAGGUUUUCAGCCCAAUCAAGCAUUGAAGAAUGAGAGGUUGCAGAAAAAGAAAACCUUCACUCCAUUAGGAGAGUCCUACACUAGUUUUUUCCACAAGUUGAAACAAUUGGAUAUGUUGAGGCCGAUAGAGCCAAAACUGCCAAAUCCUCCCCCGAGAAAUCUUGAUCAUUUUGUAAGUUGCAAAUAUUGUUCUAGUGCUCUGGGUCACGACACGGAGAAAUGCUGGCAAUUGAAAAUAACUAUUCAAGAGCUCUUUGAUACCAAUCGAAUUGAAGUCCAAGCUCUAGAGGCGCCCAAUAUCAACCAGAAUCUAUUGUCGGCCCAUCAUGAGACAAAUAUGAUCGAGAUAGUGCAUAAAGGAGGGGAGCCUAAGAAUCCUUCGCAGGCCGUCAUGAUGAUUCGAUCCACUGAAGCCAGGCCGUUUGGAAAGUCAACAAGUGAGAAAUCAGUGAUCAGGUUGAGCGGAGCAAAUAGUGAACCAUCUGCGGUGGUCGAGAAGGGGACCUCAAGUGAUGUUGUAGUAAAACAAGAAAGAGCAAAAGUGGUUGUGCCAGGAGUGGCGAACAAGCCUAUUGUAAUUGUGGAGGGUGCCCG